UUUAUGGAGAGUUUGAUCCUGGCUCAGGACGAACGCUGGCGGCGUGCCUAAUACAUGCAAGUCGAGCGGAGAAUGAAAAGCUUGCUUUUCAUUCUUAGCGG
rnacentral:rRNA from 1 species